UACGUAGGGAGCAAGCGUUGUCCGGAAUCAUUGGGCGUAAAGCGCGCGUAGGUGGCCUCAUAAGUCCGCUGUGAAAGUCAAAGGCUCAACCUUUGAAAGCCGGUGGAUACUGUGAGGCUAGAGUACGGAAGAGGCGAGUGGAAUUCCUGGUGUAGCGGUGGAGUGCGCAGAUAUCAGGAGGAACACCAAUAGCGAAGGCAGCUCGCUGGGACGUUACUGACACUGAGGCGCGAAAGCGUGGGGAGCGAACAGG
rnacentral:rRNA from 1 species